rnacentral:rRNA from 1 species
AUUGAACGCUGGCGGCAUGCUUUACACAUGCAAGUCGAACGGUAACAGGCCGCAAGGUGCUGACGAGUGGCGAACGGGUGAGUAAUGCAUCGGAACGUGCCCAGUCGUGGGGGAUAACGCAGCGAAAGCUGUGCUAAUACCGCAUACGAUCUAUGGAUGAAAGCGGGGGACCGUAAGGCCUCGCGCGAUUGGAGCGGCCGAUGUCAGAUUAGGUAGUUGGUGGGGUAAAGGCUCACCAAGCCAACGAUCUGUAGCUGGUCUGAGAGGACGACCAGCCACACUGGGACUGAGACACGACCCAGACGCCUACGGGAGGCAGCAGUGGGGAAUUUUGAACAAUGGGCGCAAGCCUGAUCCAGCAAUGCCGCGUGCAGGAAGAAGGCCUUCGGGUUGUAAACUGCUUUUGUACGGAACGAAACGGUCUGGGUUAAUACCCUGGGCUAAUGACGGUACCGUAAGAAUAAGCACCGGCUAACUACGUGCCAGCAGCCGCCGUAACAC